UCAAACUUACUGUGGUAACUAGCAUAACCUGCUUUCUGGAAUACCCCCCUGGUUUUCCUCCUUCAGAGCAGCCUAAAGCAAAAGGUCAGCAUUACUUGAACACCGCCAUGUGCAACAGCAGAUGGAGCUAUAACCGAAAGAAACUUAUUUGGCUAUCCAGUUUCCCAAGCUCACUGUUUUCAGAAGAAGACUGUGUUCUCCUUUUAACGGACAGAGCUGCUCGCCGCCAUCAUUUAGCAGUCAAUUGAAUUUAAAGGCUCACCGCUGAUGUCAGCUUGGAUCAGUGACACGACAGCGAGUCACAGUCUAUUGUCACACACGGCAUCAGCAGAGCUGAGCAGCCAUUUAUGACUCGAUUUGUUUUGAUGGAUUCAAAAGACAUGCAUUCUAGGAAUUCUGAGUCAGUCAAAAAGUCAAAAGAGUUCCUGCCGCAUCUGUGCUUGUCUCAGAAACAAGUCAUGACAUGAUGGCGAGCAUGUGCAACAGGCAGACUUAAGGAAAACAAUUUUUUCUUCAGGUUUUCUUAUCUUCCUUCAGAAAUAUGAAUCAUUUCCUGAAGGCAGCAUGCCACCUAAACUCAAAUAUUAACAUUUUUGCAGUUCCUGAUGUUUUAAUUAAGCAAACCUCAUGCAGCUACUGCAUUCCUUCAGCCUACCACAAGACCACACAUGCAGCCCUUCAGCGCAGAGCCGAUGCGAGCUGAAAGCAGAGGUCUGUGCUGGGUAAUUUACAACAGCGUCUCAUGGGAUAACUCGGUAAACUGGUUGCCAGGACCAUUUCAGCAGCUUUCAUUUAAAGGCCAACCCAGACAGGAAAACCACAGUGAUUAACCAUUAAACCACAUACCUCACAUGCACCUCUUCUUCUUCAACCACUAGCAUGCCAUUGCACCACACAAAAAAGCUAAAAACCACUUAAUAAUGAAUCAAAACAUCUCCAUUACAUUCGUUUCUGUCUAAGAUUAACUAUUUGGCACAAAUGAGACGGUCCGUUUUCAUGUGGAGUUUUUAGUUCAAUACGUUCUUGCCUGAAAGCACGUUUUGGAGGAUAACAUAGAAGAAGAUGACACCCAGCCUCACCGUGCAGAACAGUCUGAGUGGUAACAGGCUGGCAGCAGCCAGCAGGUCAGGACCGGUUGAAACCUGUACGGAUCGACUGCAACUGACACUUCCUCCCUCCACCCAGCAGUGCAGCAUCGGGCAGGUCCAGGAAGAGCUGGGCGGUUAUCUUCAGACACAGUUAGACACAAGGAGAGACUGACAGAAACACACAAGUCCUCAUGAGUCAGCUAAAUUAUUACCAAGUCUCACAAGAUUGUGCUGCAUUAAAGGACUGUUGGAAAUACGA